GUAGGCGGGAGCGUUCGUGGCUGUGAGGAGCCGAGCCGGCGGCGCCGAGGCUGUGUCUUUACAUGCUCGGGGAAGUUUUCUGUGGCGGGUGGCGGUGUUUCCGGAAGGUCGACGGCGGACUGACGGCAGUUGGGAUGUCGCCGUGACCAGUGAUUGGAGCUCCUGGCAUGGAACUGAAUUGGGCUGAUUUGUGGGAACUAUAAGAUCGCCAUCACGAAAGCCAAAGUGGAUUUCUCCGGUGUUCUGUGCCUGCCCCCUUCCGUCAUUGCUGGAAAUGGGCUGGACGGAGGAGGGGCUGGCGAGAAUGAAGAUGAGACAACAUUGGUGUCUCUUUCAGCGGC